GCUAUAAACUAACAGCUUCCAAAGUAAGCUUUUCGAUUUUUCUGACUUGGAGUCACUGAGAACUAAAAACUGAUCUUUACUGGGACCUGGAGUCACUGAGAACUUGGAGUCACUGAGAACUAAAAACUGAUCUUUAUUGGGACUCUAAGGUUGCUCUAUAGCUUGUACCUGCCUUCAGGAUCUGAAGCUCUAUAGCUUGUACCUGCCUUCAGGAUCCACAAGCUCAAGCCUGAAGACUUGUUAUAAGCCUAGAACGAGGACUCAUCAUUCCAGCUGACCAUUUAUGGUAUAGCUCUUUUCAUGGAUAAACCUCUGUUUGGACUACUAAACACGUCUGAUGAAAUUCUGAGAUCAUCCAUGCCCUUAUUGGAGAAGCAACCAUUGCCGUGGAUAUCACAAAUGAAGUCAACAUCUUAGCAUCAAAAACUUGUUUUCUUGGAGGUUCCACCGAGAUACAGUUUGCACUGACCAUCCCCAUGGAUUUCCGUCUUCAGCCAAGGGCGGAACCCCUUGUGCCUUGCUGCUCACCUCCUGUCGAGUCCACAACGAUGUGAUGGCUGUUCAGUGACACCAGAUCAUUUCAAAUGAAUAUUAACUAAAUUUCUCCAUGAAAACUGCUCACCAUGGAACAGGAUAUUUCAUCCACUGGAAGAGACAUCAGAGGAAAACUGCUGCUCUUGACCUCACUGGAAGGCACCUUAUCAGGCAUCCCUAUUUAAGAUGCAUGGACUCCAAGAUUCUAAAACAACUUACUUGGGCUAUAACUUUUCAACAGAUACUGGAACAACACCAACAAGAGUGCUAGAAUGAUUAUUUGUUAGAUCCUGUUUCAUCUCACAGAGGAGUUUUAUACUUGUCUCUUAAUUGUUUAGGAACCUAUUAUAUUCAUUUAUAUUGAACAAAAGGAGGGACUGACAAUGUUGAACUUUACCUAAGCUCUGUGUUCUUUCCUGGAAAACAGUGAUGCUUAAGAAAUCUCCUGUGCUUAGGGCUGGGAAGGAUGGGGGUGGGUAGGGGAUAG